UCCGACUCCCCUCUUGUUCUUCACUCCGAUUCUCUCACAACUCAUUCAUCUCCGGUUGGAUUUUUCACUGGCUCCAAGGAAAUUGUAUCAACACUCAAGAUUCAAGAAACUUCUACACUGCUUCAACCUGCAUCCUUUGGAUCAUAUGGAAAUCAAGAAAUUAACUCAUCUUUAGAGGUUCUAAUUCAUGUCCUAUAGGGCCAUUACAAGAAUAUCGUAUCUUUAUAUUUCCAUUCUCAGUGCCUAUCAUGCUCAUUCUUCUCGGGCUUUUCAUUCAAGGAAUCAACCUGCUCUCAGCCUUGGUGAUCAAUUCUCCCAUCGGUCUCUAUCGUCCUACAUUAUUAAAAAUCGUCAAAAGGACAUGACUAGAGCAGCAGCUAUUGUUUAAAACUCUAAUGUGCUCCAACUGUUGUCCAUUCAAAACUUCAUGUUUCCCAGCAAUAUUCAG
rnacentral:lncRNA from 1 species